rnacentral:lncRNA from 1 species
GAGAGAAGGCCCUCCCCCCGCUCUUAGUACAUACGGCUAGCUGCUUCUGGUCAUUAGUAGUACGUACUUACUUACCUUACUACCUCCUUAGGAAGACUAGUCAAAGUAAGACUGCUACGAGGAAAGUUUUCUUUCUCUUCCCCCCUCCCCUACUUCUUCUUAUAUUAUGACUCUUACAUCUAGGUCUCUCCUUCCUUCUACUGUUUUCUUUGG